rnacentral:lncRNA from 12 species
ACAGAUCCUGCCUACCUUAUACUCUUAGACUAUCAUGACUUCAGAAAAGAUCUCACAAACAUCUGGGAGCCACUGCUGGCAGGAACGGCUGAUUUAUCCUUCAGAAAACUCUCACCACGCUGUCUGGAGAAUGAUUGGACAUGCUUUGGCUUCUGCACAAACAUCCCACGUAUAUCCCCAAAGCUUGAAACUGUACAGGGAGUUCUUUGGAAGCUAGAGAUGAGAAUGGACUACAAAAUAUGUGCAAGGAGUGUAUAAACACAGUAAUAGGAAAUGCAGAAUAGUGUUCACCAGCUGUUAGACUCUUCCCAUCAGAGAGUGAUCUGGACAACAGGCUGCUUCCUGCACACCUCAGCUUCUCAAUUCCAGGCUCUCAUUGAAAGGGGAUUCUCUGGUUGAUUGAUCAUAUGGGAAGGAAGAACAGAUGCAAGAGAGCAAGACUGGGAGAAACCAGAAGUUAAGACAAGGUCAAGAGAGAGUUUGAAAUGGUUGGAGAAAGGUGGAGAGGCGGAGAGUCAGCCAAAUAAACCCGCUAUAACAAGACCACUUUUAAUUGUGUUCCAUUUCUGCCCAAUACUGCCUGGUCAUCCCAUGCAGACCCAGUAGACCCCAUUACUUCUCCUGUUUCUGUCAACACAAGAUAUAAAAAUGCCAGUGAUGUGGGAAGUAUGCCCCAAUAGACUCACCA